GCAGCAGCCACGGUAAAACGUAGGUGGCAAGCGUUGUCCGGAUUUACUGGGCGUAAAGCGCGCGCAGGCGGAUGGUUAAGUAGGAAGUGAAAGGUUGGAGCUCAACUCCAACAUUGCUCCCUAUACUGGCCGUCUUGAGUCCCGGAGAGGAAAGCGGAACGACACGUGGAGCGGUGAAAUGCGUUGAUAUGUGUCGGAACACCAAUGGCGAAGGCAGCUUUCUGGACGGGUACUGACGCUCAGGCGCGAAAACCGAGGUAGCGAACAGGAUUAGAUACCCCCGUAGUCCCUGUCUCUUAUAU
rnacentral:rRNA from 1 species